AUCCUGCCAAAUCUAUCACAUCCCAAUAAAAAUAUUUGUAUUUCACCGAUUAUCGUGUAUUUCAUCGAUUUUUAUGAUGAUACCCUAAAUUGCCUCAUCGAUUUCCGACUUCUGAUAGGGUUGUUAUAAAUUUGAUGGGGCAUCACCGUUGCAACGAAUAUCUUCCCGUGUUGCUGGUCAAUGUUCAUCAAACUUAAUUAUCUUGCUCGAAUUACUAGCCGAGCAAAAAUUCCAAAGUUAUUUAUAUUCCAUGGACCGGUAGGAGCCGGAAGGGCGGAUCACGCAAAAAUUUGACAUCUGCUACAAAGACGACCUCCCUCCGCCUCCGCCGGAGACGCCGCUUCCAUCGCCUUCUCCAUGCGGGCCGGCGGCGAGCGGGUGGCCGCGCUCGAGACCCUCCGAGAUGCCCAAUCUUCUUCUACCUCGUCGCCUACCUCCAGAAGGUGGCGCCUUUGGACGCCUCGUGUCCGAUUCCGCAUUUGAUCGAUAUAUCUCUUCCUUCUGCUGAGAUGGAUUGGUUGUGGAGUAUUUUUCCUUUGGGGGAUGGAGCAAUACCUUUUUAUCUCGAUGGUGCCCGCGGUAGAAUCUAUUGCUACAUAGUUUGAUUUGAAAUUUCUUAGAACUUAUUGAAGCUACUUUGGCGAAUACUGACCUUGUUCUUUUCAGUAGCCGGUGGAUUCAAGCUCCUCGUAUUCUUUUGAAUCACUGGCCCUAACUCCUUUGCGUACAUGCUUCACCCACAAAAAAUGGUAAGACAUUCACUUUCAACAGAUAUUGAGGGUAAUCCUUUCAUAGACAAAUUUGAGUUUGAAGAAGCUAUUGGUGAAAGCUGUGAUGUUUAGGGGAGCCUGUGGUCAACAUAGUGGCAUUGAUGUGCCAUUGAUGCUAACAAGGCGUUCCUUUUUCUUUAUCACUUAUCUUUCGAAAAGGAUGCCACCAAGGUGUUCAUAGCCAUAUCUUGUAUUGAGAUUAUGAAUUGCCUGUCUGCCCAUUUGAAAUUUUUGAGUGCACCUAAUGUGAGGUUUGAAAUGUCAUAGUUUGUCGAUGAGUUGCCUUUCACAGUAGAGCUGGCUUGUCAGAACUCCUUUCCUCAGCGUAUGGGAGGGGUUUCGAGUUCAAACAAUCAUGCUAUUAUUAUUAUUAUUGUUAUUGUUAUUAUUGACAAGGUGGUAUAUUCAUAUAAUUUUGAAAUAAAUAUAAUCAAAAAAAUCGGAAAACAAAAUAUCACAAAAA